ACCGUGGGAAGGCUAGGGUGGUUGUGGUCAGGUCCUCUGCUACCUGGGCAAGACUUCUCUUCUACUGGAAAGACAUUGUUAGACAGGUUUCGCUCAGUUUUUGUCACCUAACUUCUUCCUCUCAUCCCAUCUGAGCUCUUGGACCACCAGCUAGAGGGAUCAGCUGCUGACUGGCUUGGUUCGUUUUUGUAAGGACCACGGGAAGGACCAACAACCCUACCCUCAUCCAGAAAUGAGCCCUGGAAGGCAGUUGAAGUGCCCUGAGGGUGAGCUCAGGCAGGGAGUGAGGAAAGCACUGAGAAGCGCCUGUUGGCAACUCUAUUCCGUAUCUUCCCAGAGACUGAGGUUCUCUGUACAGGACAUCUGAAGACACUAAGGAUCCAGGCAGAGUAAGAGGCAGUUGAUGUAAUCCACUGGGCCUUGGGCACGCACGGAAGACAUUGCAUUGUUUGUGUGUCACAGUUUCAACAGCUGCAAAGGGUCACAUCUGUUGUGGAAGGCUGAGGCGCCUGCAAGUCUGUUGUCAACAAGCUGGAGCAAGGGCCGUGUUGCUUGCCAAUGGAAGACUCAGAUCACCCAGAGUGCCGGAGGAGGACCCGUGAAGAGAUGAACACCCAUCUGCAGGACUCUGUAACUGUGCAUAAAGGCAG